CCCCCACUCCUUUCUCUCCCACGCAACCUCCCCUUUCCUCAUUUUCCCUUCCCCGCCGCCCCCGUCCCCGCCCCAUCGGCGCAUUCCAGUUCCUCCGUCGCCGGCCACCGGAGAAGGCGCCUUCCUCAGAUCCGCUUCUCCCCUAAAACUUCUCAACUUUGUGUUGCACCCGUCCUCAAUGAUGGUUGUAGAGGUGGGGGCAGGGAAGUAGAUGGCGUGGCCGUCGGCCGGAGACAGAGCAGGGUGCUGCCAACGGGAGAGGCGCCCCUCCCUGCUUCUUGGCGAGCGUGGCCACUUCUUCCAGGCCCGCUACUUCGUCGAGGAUGACGGGAUCAACAUCUACAAGACAUGGCUGUUGAGGAGGCUCGUGCAGCGCGUGGGGUGAUGGGAGCGGGAAGAAAAGAAAGAGCGGCGGCGGCAGCGAAUUUCUCCAUCUCACGGGGCCAGCCCUCCCGUCCGCGCCGCAACACCGCUGGUAUCGAGGCGGUGAAAUCCUUCUCAGGUGGCAGAGGCUAACAGCCUUGAUAUAUUUGGAGAUUCUAAGUGUGUAGUUUUCUUUGUGCACACCAAUUGUUUGAUGAAUUGCUAGAAGAAAUUGUACGUCUUUUUGUUGCAUGCGUUUGAAGCAGGUAAAGUGUGAUUUAGCCAUGCUUUUUAAAAUCACUCAUGAAAUCUUUUGAAAAUGUGAUGAAGUAGUUCAGUUGUGACCGAAUGUGGUGGCCUAUCGCCGACCGCGGCGGUGGUGGAUUCCCUAAGGUGGGUAACUGAGGCAGCCACGGAGGGAGGUCACUCUUAGUUCAUCUGCCGGUUUGCUCUGUCUCCUGACGGCAGCCAAUGAGUGCACCAUGAGGCGGCUAGCAGGAGCCCUAAGGUCGAUGGCGCCGGGGAGGAGGCAGACUGGCAGGACGGGUACUGUCGUGCUGACUGGAGCAGCGGCCGGAAUGUGUCUCCGGCACGAGAGGGUGGGAUGAGGACGAGGUCCUUUCGUUUUGCUAAGCUAAGAUCCACACUUCUGUUUUGUUCUUCCACUGCAAUGUUGAUUCUACUGACCUAAUCCAUAGCUCUGGAUCCAUAUUCCUUGCAGGGGCGUUAUCUCUUGGCGCGGUGGCGCGAGGCUGCAGGAGGCCAGCCCGGGUUUGCUGAGGUGAUCUCCCUGUCCUUGGACGAGGAGGUCGACAAGGACGCCGUGGUGGAACUUGUCGAGGAAGAAGAAGAACCGGCGCAAGGAGAGGAGGAAGAAGCAGCGGAAGGAAGACGCCGCUGACAGUCAGGACAAGCUUCAGGUUGCUGGCACCUAGGAGGGACGGGAUAGCAAGAUCAGUGCUCAUUGAAGAUGGUGUUGAUUCCCCUUACCCGACAACAUAGUUCUGCGGAAGCUUCUUCAUAUACCAAGACACUUCUCCGUAUGCGAUAUACACACACACACGGAGUGAGCUUUUCUCUGCGGUUCUGGUGACCGGCACAUAGGGUUUCCAUUCCAUGGUGUUGCCAAUGAGCAAGCUUAAGGCAUGCUAACAAACUCGCAGGAUGGAGUUAAAACUCUUCAUCUUUGUCUAGCAGCAUCAGAAUUACAGUCUAGCAGUAUCUCGGUCACAAAAUGCUUUGGAUAGCAUAUGUACUUCUGUCAGUUGCAUUCCGUAUCUUUUAUCUCAUCUAUUUUAUUUCGAUUAGGAGAUUGAGAAAAUAAGGGUAACCGUUCUGCGUUGGAAAUAAUUUCUAGUUAAAAAAGCAUGCCAUGGCUUAACCUGAUAAACACAUGAUAAGUCUCCUUUUGUGAUUCAGGGAAAGGAAAACAGCAUCAUCCCACGUUCUUACAUUCAGAUUUCUGAGCAGAGAGAUAGUAGUUUGUAAGGUCUCGGUCAAACUGCAGAGCUCUGUUAAUGAUGGGGGAGCACUUGUUGUCAGGGUUGGCUACGGUGGCGGCAAGAUAACAUUCACGGAACUGGAGCUCACCCGGAGGAGGAAAAUCCGUUAGUUCUUCUCGCGCCCUUCGUCAUCCAUGAUAAAGAUCAUCAAUGCAAAGCCAUCAAGGUUCUUUGUACCAUGGUCUUUGACCCUGUUUCUAAGAUCAGUUUCAGGUAUUAACGUUGUUGAAGAUCAUCCUCAACAACUCCUCGCCACGCCCACUAGCUGUAAGAUACCGUUCCCCGAGUUCUUACUUACUGCUGUAGUUGAUUGGAUUGGAAGAUAUUUGUGUUUUAUCAAAUUCAUAUGGGAUUCUUUUAAGUUUGAGAAAAAAUGAUGCAAGAGAACGAGGAAGGCCCCAACCAGCCGACGGACGUGGCGGCUGCUGCAGCUGUUGGUGCUCUGGGCGCGCAAGGGUAGCUCGAUCCUCCUCCUGGUCUAGACACUGCAGCACAGCCGCGUCAGCCUUGGCGGCUGGCGCAUCACAAAGAUCUAUAUGUAGAUGAACUGCAGCGACAAUUCUGGAACUGCAAUACAACGACAUGAUGAAGAGAAGCAUCUGAUAGAUAUAGCAUUAAGAUUGCUUGUUUAUUUGAUGUGUUUGGUUCACUUUUUAUGAAGAGGAGCAUCGUAUGUAAUGCAUCAGCUGUACAUGGAUGUAUGUUAUCAAUCAGAGCUCAAAUUCACUGGAAAGGGUGCCACACUACCUGGCACCGCAAAAA